UACGUAGGGUCCGAGCGUUGUCCGGAGUUACUGGGCGUAAAGCGCGCGCAGGCGGCGGUGCUGGCCCGGCGUGAAAGCCCCCGGCUCAACCGGGGAGAGUCGUCGGGGACCGCACGCUUGAGGGCGGUAGGGGCUGGUGGAAUGCCUGGUGUAGUGGUGAAAUGCGUAGAGAUCAGGCAGAACACCUGGGGCGAAGGCGGCCAGCUGGGCCGUCCCGACGCUGAGCGGCGAAGGC
rnacentral:rRNA from 1 species